AGAACUUAACUGUAUAGGAUGUCAUAGGUUAGGUGGAAAGUUUAAGCUUAUCAAAGAUUCAAAUUUCAAGCUCACUUGACCAAAUAUGCAUCCUACCUUGACCCUAGCUCCAUUACAACCGAUGAAAAGACAUCAUGAUAAUUGUAUCCAUGCAUAAAAUAAUU